rnacentral:lncRNA from 10 species
GUCCUUGUGGUGAAGAACUGGAUUACAUGGUGGACUGUUCCUGAACAGAGACCUAUCUGGAAUGAAGAAGCAGAGAUCAUGCAAGGUGUUUCCAUCCAAAAGUAGGCAUCUCAUGUCAUCUGCUCUGGCCAGUAUUUAACCUUGAGAAAAGAAGAAGUGUAGAGAUGAUGUACUUGCCUGAGGGAUGGAUUAAAAAGUCUUUGGUCUUCUCUGAACGGUACUACUGAAUUUAUCCUCAUCACCGUCAUCAUUGUCAUUGUCAUCAUCAUCAUGAAAACAGGAGCAGAGAGAGGAAUGCUAUGAAGCUAUUAUUGUUCAAAAAAGACCUGGAGACAGCGGAUUGAAAAUCUCACAGCCAAAACGCAAUCUGGUGACUACCUUCUCUGGCUCUCAUUUGCUGACUUUGGAAGUUUGAAAAGGAACUGCGGAAUUUGUUUUCACUCAGCGUGGUACACUGGAUGAGCUGUUGCUGUCUCUAGUUUGUCCUCUUAAAUGUCACCUCCAGAAGCUGAUUAGAAAGGCUGAAAUGACCACCAUCCAAAAGACCCAGGGGCAUAUUUCAUGGUUUUAGUCUAUUUGAAAGGUUGUUAGAGUAGGUUAGGAAAGACCAAGGCCUCUAGCUCAAGGUGGCCAGCUCAUGCUGUGUAUGGACUGUACACUAUCAUGUUGUAGGCCACUAAUUUCUCAUGCCAAUCCCUCCAAGUGCCACUGGUUUCAUAUUUCUAGGCCUUUACAUGGCCCAUUCCUUCUGUUUGGAAAGUCCUCGAUGCUCAUUUUUACUUUGGCCCACCAAGCCCUGAGUGCACCGAUCUUUGCUUCCCUCCCCAGCAGCAUAUCACAACCUCUCUCCUUUUCUAAUUCACCUUGUUUGACACCAAGGUCUUUCUGCAGUUUUUAAAACAGACUUAGCCAUUUUCUGCUUCAGGGCCUUUGCACACCCACGUCCCUCUGUCUGGAACUCUCGUACCUGGCUUUUCACGUGGUUCAUUCCUUCUUAUUGUUCAGAAACAAUCUAAUAACCUCCUCAGCAAGGACUUUCUUGAUCUCUAACGGGCCCCCUUCUUGUUCUCCCUAUCUUAGUAUCCUUCCUAGCCCUUCACAUUUUGUAAAUAUUUGUUUACCUAUUUAUUGCCUGACUUCUAACUAACUAUAAGGGCCAGUGAGACAGGAACUGUCUUAGUCUGUUUUGUGUUGCUAUAAAAGAACACCACUGAGUGGGUAAUUUAUAAAGAAAAGAAAUGCAUUUCUUACAAUUCUGGUGGAUGAGAAGUCCAAGGUUGAGGAGUCUACAUCUGGUGAGGAUUUUCAUGCUGCGUGAUCCCAUGGCAGAAGGCAGAAGGGUAAGAGAGCAAGCAUGUGUGCACGUGAGAGGGACUAAACUUCCUUUUAGAACAAACCCACCCUGCACAAUAAUGACAUUAAUCCAUGCAUGAGGUGGAACCCUCAUGACCUAAUCACUUCUUAAAGGGCCUACCUCUCAACACUGUUGCAUUGAAAAUUAAGUUUCCAACACCUGAACUUUGGGGGUCACAAUCAAACCAUAGCAGGGACUUUUUCUGUUUCCACCAACUCUGUACUUAGAAUGCCUUAUCUCAGUAUAUGGUGCAGAGGGUACUCUUUGAAUAUUUAUUGAAUAUACGGAAGAGUGGCUAAUUUCUACUCAUCUUUUUAAAUUCCACCCUGGAGUCACUUGCCUCUUUCUAUAAAUCCUUCCCAACUUCCUCUCCCACAACUCACUUCCCGGAUCUAGGUUGGUGUCUGCCUGGGUGCUCUACUGUGUCCUGGGCCUACCUCCACAUGCUGCAUCAUGGUGCCUGUUGGCAGUCCCUUUCUUCAAGAAGAUGGUGAGCUUUGUAAAGGCAAGAUUGUAACUUUGGUUUCUAUAUUGCAGGAUCCAGAAAAAUACCUGAUAUAUAGAGAUUGCUUUCCUUGACCAAUGUUGGUAAUAUGAAUGACUGGAUGAUUAAAUAAAUGACCGUUAGGUGACAUUUCAGAGAUGUAUAGAAAAUUUGGUGUGGGGGCUACUACCAAGUUCAAAAAGAGACAGGGAUAAGUUUCAGUUCUUAUGUUUCCUGGUCCUUCAUUUUAUCUGAUGAUAUUCCAGUAAUUUAGACAGGAAGUAAUUUGGUAAAAGCCUUAAAGAUAAUUUAAACCAAGGAGUCCUGACUCUUUUAUGACUGAAAAGACCCUAUGUUUACGGGAUAUCAUGAUGUUCAAUUUCCAAACGUUGAAACACUUGAGUGGGAAUUGAGUUUCAGACACCUCUUUGGGCCUCAGUUUUUUCAUCUGUAAUCAGAAGGAUGGAUAAGAUAAUCUCUAAAGUAUGUUCCAGCUCUAACAUUUUGUUAUUAAAAAUAAAAAUCAAGGCAACUAACAUUAACCUUCCAAUGCAUUGAAAAAUUCCCAGUGACUUUAGAGCUCACUAGAGAUGCUCUAGGGAAGAAGAGAAUCCUGGCUAGGAACCUCAGCUUUGAGCAUCUCAGGUCUGCUGCUCUCCCUCAAGUUCAGAGUCACCUCCUUUCCCACAUGAAGUGCGUCUUGGUUCAAGAGAUUAUGGGGGGAAAGCAGAAUGUGAGACAAAGUGUAUUAGGAGCCAAAGAGAGAUGCUCAGGACAUGACUGUAACUCAUUGUUCCAGGGAGGAGUGAUGCUAAGGGGGCAAGAGGCAGGCAUGGCUGCUUCAGAGAGCAUGAGAGGGCUCAGAAGGAGAGAGAGAACAAAGAUGGUGGAGAAAUUGUUAUUAAAGUUCACAUGAGUUGAGAGGAAGAAACAUUGAGACAAAGGAAGAAGAGGAUAAGAAUAAAAUGUAGCAGAAAAGUUACAAGUCCAGUAGUCAAACUUUGUAUUUAGCUUAGCUUGGCCACUAAUAAUUGUGUGAACUUAAGAAAAUCUCUUGACAUCUCUGGUCCUUGAUAUCUGAAUCUGUAAAAUUGGGACAAAUAACACCCUUCCCACAACACAGACUAUUUUUCAAAUAGAAAUAAACAUAUGGAUGUGAAACUGCUUGAAAAGAAUUUUUUUAAAUAUAAUAAAUGAAACAACUAGACAGAAGAUAAGGAAAUAGGGGACUUAAACGACACAAUAAAUCAACUAGGUUUAACAUACAUGUAUAGAACACUCUAGUAAACAACAAUAGCAUUCACAUUCUUCUCAAGAACACAUGGGACAUUUUCCAAGAUAGACCAUAUGUUAGGCAGCAAACUAAUGCUCAGUAGAUUUAAGAAGAUAGAUAUUGUACAAAGUAUAUUCUCCAACCACACAGGGAUGAAGUUAGAAAUUGAUAACAGAAGUAAAACUGAAAAAUUUACAAAUUUAUAGAAAUUAAACAACACAACCUUUAACAACCAGUGGAUCAAAGAAGAAAUCAAGAGGGAAAUUAAAAAUUACUUGGAGAUGAAUGAAAAUGAAAAUAUAACAUACCAAAACUUAUGAAUGCAGCAAAAGUAAUAGUAAGGGGAAAAUUUAUAGUAUAAUUUAUUACUUUAUUUUUUAAUUUAAUUUAAUUUUUUUUUUUUGAGACUGAGUCUUGCUCUCUGUCAUCCAGGCUGGAGUGCAGUGGCAUGAUCUUGGUUCACUACAAUCUCCUCCUCCCAGAUUAAAGCAGUUCUCAUGCUUCAGCCUCAUGCUUCAGCCUCCAAGUAGCUAGAACUACAGGCAUGUACCACUACGCCCAAUUAAUUUUUGUAUUUUUAGUAGAGAUGGGGUUUCACCAUAUUGGCCAGGCUGGUCUUGAACUCUUGACCUCAAGUGAUCCUCCCACCUCAGCCUUCUAAAGUGCUGGGAUUACAAGUGUGAGCCACUGCAACUGGCCUAAUUUCCUUCUUUAAAAAACAAGAAAGAUCUCAAAUCAAUAGCGUAACAUACAACUUAAUGAACUAAAAAAAAAAAAAAUGGAAAAACAAUAAAAAAAUUAAUGAAACCAAAAGUUGAUUCUUUAAAAACAGCAAUAAAAUUGACAAACCUUUAGCUAUAUGGACUAAGAAAAAAUUACUAAAACCAGAAAUGAAUGUGUGGGCAUUACUACCAAUUCUACAGAAAUAAAAACAAUUAAAAGAGAGAACUAUGAAGAAUUACACACCACCAAACUGGAUAACCUAGAUGAAAUGGACAAUUUUCUAGAAGCACAGAAACCUACUGAGACUAAAUCAUAAAGAAAUAUAAAGUCUAAAUAGACCUAUAACGAGUAAGGAGAUUGAAUCAGUAUUCAAAAAUCUCCCAACAAAGAAAAGCACUAGACCUGAUGGAAUCACUGGUGAGUUCAACCAAACAUUUAAAGAAGAACUAAUAUCCAACGCUUCUCAAACUGUUCAAAAACUGAAGAAAAGACAACACGUCCUAACUCAUUCUAUGAGGCCAGCAUUACCCCAAUACCAAAGCUAGGUAAAGGCACUACAAGAAAAGAAAAUUACAAAUCAAUAUUUCUUAUAAACAUUGAUACAAAAAUUACCAAAAAAAAUACUAGCAAACUGAAUUCAUCAGCAUAUUAACAUGAUUAUUUAUUAUGACCAAGGGGGAUUUAUUUUUGGAAUGCAAGGAUGGUUCAACAUACAGAAUUGAUCAGUGUAAUAUACCACAUCAAAAGAAUGAAUGAAAAAAAAGAUUAUAUUAUUGAUGCAGAAAAAGCAUUUGACAAAAUUCAACACUCUCAUGAUAAAAAACACUCAACAAACUAGGAGCAGAAGUAAACUACCUCAGCAUAAUAAAAGCCAUGUGAAAGAAACCCACAGUAAACAUCAUACUUCAUGGUGAAAGACAGAAAGCUUUUCUCUAAGAUCAAGAAAAAGUCAAGGAUGUUUGCUUUUACCACUUUUAUUCAACAUAGUACUGGAAGUUCUAGCCACAGCAAUUAGGCAAGAAAGAAAUAAAAGACAUCCAAAUUGGAAAACAAAAUGUAAAACUAUUUCUGUUUGCAGAUGAUAUGAACUUGUAUGUAGAAAACACUAAAGAUCCCACAAAAAUUGUUAAAAUUAAAUGAGUUCAACAAAGUAACCAGCUAAAAAGUCAACACAGAAAAAUCAGUUGCAUUUCUAUACACUAACAAUGAACAACCUAAAAAGGGAAUUAUGAAAAAAAUUUCAUUGACUAUAGCAGCAAAAAGAAUAAAAUACUUAGUAAUUAAUUUAACCAAAGAGGUGAAAGACUCAUAUGAUUAAAACUAUAAAACAUUGCUGAGAAAAUUAAAGAAGACAUAAAUAAGUGGAAAUACAUUUCAUGUUAUUGAAUUGGAAGACUUAAUAUUGUUAAGAUGGCAAUACUACCAAAAGCAAUCUACAAAUUCAAUGCAAUCACUUUCAAAAUCCAAAAACGUUUUUUGUAGAAAUAGAAGAGCCUAUCCUAAAAUUCACAUGGAGUUUUAAGGGAUCCUGAAUAGUCAGAAUAAUCUUGAAAAAGAACAAAUCUAGAGGACUCAUAUUUCCUGAUUUCAAAAUUUACCACAAAUCUGCAGUAAUCAAAACAGUGUGGUACUGGCAUAAAGACAGACAUACAGAUCAAUGAAAUAGAAUCGUGAGCCCAGAAGUCAGUCCUCACAUAUAUGGUCAAGUGAUUUUUGACAAGGGUGACAGGAUCAUUCCAUGAAAAAGGACAGUAUUUUCAACAAAUGAUGUGGGAAAAACUGGAUAUCCACAUGCAAAAUAAUGAGGUUGAAUCCUUACCUAACACUAUAUACAAAAAUUAACUCAGAAUAGAUCAAAGAUCUUAAUAUAAGACCUAAAACUAUGAAACUCUUAUAAGAAAACAUAGGGCAAAUCCUUCCUGACUUUGGGUUUGGCACUGAAUUCUUGGAUAUGACACCAAAACACAGGCAAUAGAAGAAAAAAUUAGACAAUUGGACCUUACGAAAAUUUAAAAAUUUUGUACAUCAGAAGAUGCUAUCAACUUAGUAGAAAUGUGGUCCACAGAAUGGGAAAAAUAUUAGCGAAUAGUAUACCUGUAGAGAUUGUAUCCAGACUAUAUAGAACACUCCUAAAACUCAAUGAAAAAGCAAAUAACCAAAUUCAAAAAUGGGCAAAAGACUUUAAUAGACAUUUCUCCAAAGAAGAUAUACAAAUGGCCAAUAAGCAUAUGAAAAGAUUUUUAACAUCACUAAUCAUUAGAUAAAUGCAAAUCAACACCAUAAUAAAAUACCACCUCACCUCCUUUAGGGUGGCUACUGUUUAAAAAAAAAUCACAGAAAAUAACGUGUAUUGGUGAGAAUGUGAAGAAAUUAGAACUCUUGUGCACUGUUGUUGGGAAUGUAAAAUAGUACAGCCACUGUGCAAAACAGCAUGGCAGGUUUCCAAAAAAUUAAAAACAGAAUUUUUAUAUUACUCAGCAAUUCCAGUUCUGGAGAUAUACCCCAAAUAACUGAAAGCACGGUCUGGAAGAGAUAUUUGUACACCCGUGUUUUUGGCAGCACUAUUCACAAUAGCUAAAAUGUGGGAUCAACACAAGAGUCCAUUGAUAGAUGAAUGGAUAAGCAAAUGGUGGUAUACAAAUACAAUGGAAUAUUACUCAGCCUUAUAAAGGAAGGAGAUUCUGACAUAUGCCACAACAUGCAUGAAACUUGAGAACAUUAUGCCAAGUGAAAUAAGCAGCCACACAAAGAUAAAUACUGUAUGAUUCCACUUAUAUGAGGUAGUUAAAGUAGUCAAAAAUCAUAGACACAGGAAGUAGAAUGGUGUUUGAUGUGGACUAGGGUCGGGGGAAUGGGGCGUUAUUGUUUAAUGGAUACAGAGUUUUAGUUUUACAAGAUGUAAGAGUUAUAGAGAUGAAUGGUGGUGAUGGUUGCACAACAUUAUGAAUGUAUUCAAUAUCACUGAACUGUACAAUUAAAAAUGGUUAUGAUGGGAAAUGUUAUAUGUAUUUCAUCAUAAAAAUGUUAUGUGUAUUUAAUCAGAUAACAAUUGUAAAAAAAGUUUACUAUGUCAAUUAAUAAGUCAACAAGUUUGCAAAAAACUACUUAAGAGAGUAAAUGGUUUCCAAGAGCUCUCAAGUAUUUCAGAAAGGUACCUUUAGAUUUUGAUGGUAGAGUCACUAACUGAUUAAUAAUGUUGAUUUUUGUGCUAAUUUAAAAUUGUUCUAAAUGCUAUGUGAUGUCCUACAUUAUGUUUCAGAACAGAAAACUGAAAUGUGAAUAAAGUGUCAAGUUUAGUUAAUAGUAUUGUACUACUAGUACUAAUCAUAAUGCUGGCUUCUUAGUUUUAGCAAAUGUACCAUGGUAAUGUAGGAUGUUAACAUUUAGAAAAUCUGGAUGAAGGGUAAAAAAAAAAUGAAUAAAAGCAGAAAUGAUUGGGUCAACAGGAUUAAGAGCAGAAAGAUUUAUGGAAUAAUACAGCAAAAAAAACCUACCAAUUAAAGACAUGCUACCAGGAAUUUAUAAAUCCAAGGAAAUGGAUCAAAGAGGCCAGAUAACUGUUUUUCUCCCCAAAGGCUUGGUCAUAUUUUCCCAAUUGUUUAAAAGAGAAAAAUUAAUAAAUGUUAUCUUUAUUUUGCCCAAUGGUAACUUACAGGAACUGGAAGGGUUGGGCCAGGACAUUGGGUUGAUGGAUCAAAAUAUGCUUUGAUGGAGCUAAAUCCCAG